rnacentral:rRNA from 1 species
AGAGAGAGACAUGCGCGCAUAUCAAUAAGCGGAGGAAAAGAAACUAACAAGGAUUCCCCUAGUAACGGCGAGUGAAGCGGGAAGAGCUCAAAUUUGAAAUCUUAAAGGGUUUCCCUUUACGAAUUGUAGUUUAAAGAAGUGUUUUCUGUUGAGGUUUUGGUAAAAGUUCUUUGGAAUAGGACAUCAUAGAGGGUGAGAAUCCCGUAUUUGACCUUUACUUUCAACUUUGUGAUACACUUUCAAAGAGUCGGAUUGUUUGGGAAUGCAGUCCAAAAUGGGUGGUAAAUUUCAUCUAAAGCUAAAUAUUGGCGAGAGACCGAUAGCGAACAAGUACCGUGAGGGAAAGAUGAAAAGAGCUUUAGAAAAGAGAGUUAAACAGUACGUGAAAUUGUCAAAAGGGAAGCGUUUGACACCAGUGUUGUUUUUCUGAAAAUCAAUUAAAGAACUGUUUAUGCUAAGCUGUUUAGACUUUAUCAGCUAUCUGUUUAGUUUUGAGCUUUUCUUUAAUGCACUUUUCAGUUAACAAGUCAACAUCAAUUUCUUUUGCUGUAAAAAAGCUUGAGGAAGGUGGCUUGAGAUUCGUCUUAAGUGUUUAUAGCCUCUUGCCUAUGCAGUCGGAGAGAUUGAGGUCUGCAGCGUAGAUCCUUCGGGGCUAAAUGCAUUUGUGCUAAGUUAUAGCGUUUUAUAGACAACUUGUUGACUAUGAUUUGUCUUGUAGCUUACUCGCUUAUGUUAUUUUACCUACGCUUAGGAUGUUGACGCAUGAGAUAUACGC